AAAAAAAGCAAAUAAACAAUCGCAAUCCGUUUCCUCAAUGAUUCGACAUUAAUGCAUUUGAAUAUGGUUAUAUUUGUGAGUACAGAGAUUUAAGGCAGUCAGUCAUUUCCCUUCAGAGAUCUCGGUGCUGUAAGUACUGUCCUUACGAUUAGCAUUACACGAA